rnacentral:RNase_P_RNA from 2 species
CGAAGGGGAGCAGAUGGUCGCUCCUCCUGAUAUCACGCGAAGCGGGAAAUGAGGAGGAGAGGAAAGUCCGAGCUCCAAAGGGCAGGGUGGUCCGUAACACGGACUGCCCCUGUGAAGUAGGCGCAGCCGCCACUUCACGGGGGUAAGGAAAGUGCCACAGAAAACAUACCGCCCUGUGGAGUAGGCGUAGCCGCCACUCCACAGGGUAAGGGUGAAAAGGCGAGGCAAGGGCUCACCAGUACCCUGAGCGAUUGGGGUAGCUAGGUAAACCCCACCCGGAGCAAGACCAAAUAGGUUCCGCUUCCUCCCUGUGGAGUGGCGGCUACGCCUACUCCACAGGGGAGAUAAGAAAAGCCCAUUCAAAUUUGUCCCGAGGCAAUAGCAUCGGGACAAAGGCGGGACGGGUGAGGUCGCUUGAGACCCUGAGCAAUCAGGGCCCUAGAUAAAUGGCCAUCCUCCCGAUUCCCACUGAAAAGCGGGAUCGGGAUGACAGAACUCGGCUUAUGGUCCCCUUCGAAAA